UUAAAUACAGGCGGCCUGUAUUUUAUUAAAAGACAAAAAUAAAAGACGCAAUACUGCGCAUGCUUAUAUGUCAAAAUAAAGGAUCUUUUAUUACAGGUCGACUUAAAAGACGUUGGCAAUAGAGAGAUAUCGAAACUGGGAGUUAAAAGUUCCUUUAUUACAGGAUCUUUUAAUAAAGGACAAAUACAGGACAUGUGUAAUGAGAGUUAUCGAAAAGCAGUUUUAAGGGAUCUUUUAUUUUGACAAAUGACAUUAAAUAUUUUUGUAAAUAUAAAAAUAACCUAUAAAAUUCUAUUUGUAAUCUCGUAUAAAUAAGACCAUAGAAGAGUGAAUAAGACCUUAUUAUAGAGAUAAAAAUUAAAAUAAGAGUAAGAACAAGACAAUUAAGAAUAAGAUCAUUGAAAAGAGUAAAAUGUUGAAUUUAAUUAUUUUGUCAUUUAAAGAACAACAUAAACCAUAGUACAACAUGAAAGUGAAAUUAGAAAUACUAUGUUAUAAGGGAGUUGUUAAAUACUUUUGCAUAUUAUGGGUAUACGAAAUGGAGAAUUUAUGGACAAUGUAUCUGUUAGGGAGCAGUUGAAGUGCUGUGUAAUUAAUCACAAAUUGCUUCAAGAGCUGUUAUUGAAAGAACAUUUUGUAUUUUGAAGAGAAUAUUUCCAAUAUUAAUAUGUGAAAUAAGAUGCAAGUUAUAUUUAAAGAAUAAUAUGAGCUUGUUCAGUUUUACUAGUUUUACAGUUUCAUUGAAAUUUGCACUAACAAAUAUGAAGGUGGUGCGAUUUAAUCGAACAAGCUUUGUUGUUUAUUUGGGUUUAUAUGACUGCGGACACUAAAUCCAUUCGCCAAAUCGAACAAGCUGUGGCAGUACAUUUUCUAACAGGAGCAAAUCUAGUGCAACUACAUUUUGUGUGUGUUUGUGUUAAAAUUAUUCGCAAUUUAAGGCAAGUUUAAAUGGUUAAUGUUGAUAAUUUUAUUUUUAUUGGACAAAAAGUUAUAAAUAAAUAGGUAUAGUAUAUAUAGUUUAAUAUUGGUGUCUGAUUUUAAGUAUUUUAUUAUUAGCAGUUUUUUAAUAAAUUUAUAAAUACA